ensembl:lncRNA
GAAAGUGUUAACUUGUUGCUGAAGGUGUUGUUCGCAGCGGGGAUUUAGCUGAUUGGAAGUGUUUGGUUUAUUUAGAUCACAGUUCAGCUCAGGUGAGAGCACACACACUGACUCAGCUCUGUGUAGACAAUCUCCUGCUCAUUCACGGUCAACAUGGUAGAUAAAGAACAGUUUCUGCGAAAACACUUUGAUAAAAUUGUACAAAAUACAAGAACUCCAGUGGUACUGGCUGAUCGUCUGCUUGCCAAAGGUUUUAUUAACCAGGAAAUGUAUGAAAAGAUCGAAACCAAGGAAACCAAAUCAGACAAAAACCGUGAAAUUCAUGCAAGCCUCAAUAGUAAAACACACUUUGACUUCAUGUAUGAUUGGUUGAAGGAGAACGAGCCACAUCUGUUUGAAGAAUUGGGUAAGUCUCUUAAAAUGUAGUGUUGUACAUUUUCUCCAGUAUCACAUGACCUCAGAAAUAUGAAUACAUUUUUAGGAACAUGUAUUUUAUUAAUGCCAUUCAUGUUCAUUUCACUCAGUUUGAAGGUUUGUGACAGUUUUAUAUUUACUUUGCACAGAAAACGACGACACUGAGGCUGAAGCACCACAGAGUAAGUUCCUGUAAUAUUCGUAUUAAAGGGUCACAAGAGAAUUUACAUCUAAAAUAUUUACCCAAUAUUUAUGUGGGAAAAGUUCCUCAUAUUUAGAGUCCGGUUAUGAAGCUGUCUAACUCUUCAUUCAGAAUAUUAAAAUCACUUGCAAACAGUUUACACUACCAAGCGUAUCUGAUUGUUCUGUAGUAGAAAUGUACUGAAUGUGAUUUUUUUUUAAUAGUAUCUUUACCACCACCUUAAAACUCAAUCAGCAAUAAAGCCCAAAAAUAAAUGUAAUAGGAGUCUAGCAUAUUGCCAAUAUAUUGUUGCAUGUCCUAGUUGUAAUUAACACAAUAAUCACAGGUUUCAUUGAACAAAAUGGCUUUCACACUCAUUACUCAGCAGCACAUACAGUCAUGUGAAAAAAAUAAGUACACCCCAUGGAAAUUUUUGUUUGUUUGUUUUACUUUUUCCAUGUGACUGACCUGUUUUUUUUGUUUGUUUGUUUGUUUGUUUUUUUGGGGGGGCAGUUGUUAAUUUCAAUUGUGAAAAUUACUAUAAAAUAUCAAUUGCGUGUCAUUUGAUAGUGUAUCACCUUUAUUAAUCGGCAGUGUUUCAUUGAAGAUCGAAUGUUUGCUUACAAUACACAGCAAAAUAUUUCCUUGGGAAAUAAACAGAAAUCACUGAACUGAAAUAGGGCUAGUUCGGUGAACCACAAAACAGGUGGGAGUGAUCAGGAAUGGUACUUGACACGGUCAUGUGAUUUGCAGUGGCUGGUGGGAUGUAGUUCUCUUUUACCGGCGCUGACAUGGUCAUAUGCACUGGAACUAUGUUAAAUAACUAAAACAGAAGAUUCAGGAUAUGUAGUUCCCCUCAUUUGAGCUGAUAACAUGCAAGAAAUAAAAUCCAAGGAAAAAAUCACAUGCGACACAUUUUAGUCAAACUCCGCCCCUAACAUUAACUGCUGAAUAUCAAUUAAGUCUGAGGUCUCGAUACUGAUGUGCACAAUUUUAGUAAUAAAUCACUUAACUGAACUCUGAAUACAGCCCUUUGUGUCUCAUGCUGUUUUAGAUGGUACUUCUGUCAUUUAGAUGUUUCAUGAUUUUUUUAUAUAUAUAUAUUUUGUUUUAAUCUUUAAAUGUACAGAAAAACGAGCCAGACUCAGGCGUCAGGAUGAACCAGAUAAUAAUCUUACAGGAUUUCCCGAAUCUGAAAGAGAUCUCCGGACGAUAUCCACCUUCGCCAAACUGGAAGAAUGGGUGUCGAAACCAGAAAUCAGCCAAAAGAUGAUCAGUGACUUGGAGAGAAAACUUGGUGAUGAAGGCAUGGCAGCUUUGAGAAAAGAAUUAAAGCUUAAAGAACCAAGAAAUAGUUUAUGCUUCAAUGCGUCCAAUAUUGAUGAUAUCAGGAAAAAUAAGGAACUUGAAAGAUUUCUCAACACAACAAAGAACGCAAAAUUUCCUAAACUGACAUAUGACAUGUGGUUUAAGAAACGUGCCUCUGCCUCAUCAGGAAACAGAGCUCAAAGCUCCAUUGAUUAUAAUGAGUGCAUAGAGGCGAUGACCGAUUUAAGCAGCAGUGGAGUUGGAUCUUCAUUAAACUCAAGUCUUAAUAAUAGCUACUCUGCAGUCAGUUUCAACUAUUUACCACAAAAUGAUGACGGAUUGCCAGAUGAAGAUUGCAGAUACACUGGAGACGUGGAUAUUAUGAUUCAUGAAAAUAAAGACAAAGAGAGUGAGUUCAAAACCCCUGAAAAGCUCCUUGGUGGAUCAUUCAUCCAAAUGGACCCUGAGGUCAAUGCUGAUGCACCAUCACAAGAACCUGUGAACAUGCAGAAUACACACAUUGAUGAGAUGGAAGAGCGAUCUCAAAGAUCAUAUGUUCCAAAUAGCGUGAGGCAUGAAGAUGAAUCUCUGCAACAAAAUGAGCGAAUCACAAAGAAAGAGACGCCACUAGAUGUUGAACUUGGAAGCAUGGAUUUGCAGGAAAUACAAGUUGAUGAGAUGGAUGAUGAACCUCAAAGAUCAUCUGUUCCAAAUUACCCAAGGCAUGAGGAUGUGUCUCUGCACCAAAAUCAGUCAAUCGCCAAAAAUGAAACACCACUAAAAGAUGGACUUGGAAGCACGGACUUUCAGGGUGCACACAUUGACGAGAUGGAGGAGGAACCUCAAAGAUCAAAUGUUCUGAUGCAUUCCGCAUCGCUGCACCAAAAUGAGUCAGUCAUUAAAAGCAAAAUCCCACUAGAAGGCAGAUGUGGGAACAUGCACAUGCAGCAAAAUGAGCAAGAAAAUAUGCAGGUUAACCCUGGGCCUUUUCUUUCAACGCAGCUGCAGAAGAACAGUCCAGGUUCCGCAUCAGAGCAUACGGAAAGCAAUGGCACAGAGAGCUCGAUGCUAAAUAAAGACACAGCCAUACUAGCUAAAAACGGAGAUGUGAAAGAUCGGAUCGAAACUUCAAAAAAGAGGGCAAACUCAAAAUACCAGAAGGAAAAGAAGAAAGAAGAAAAGGAUAAACGGCUUCGUGACUGGGCACUGAGACAAUGUAAUAACCGUGAAGAGGACUUAAAGAACAUAUUUGACCAGAUCUCAAUUAUAAACAUGGCAGAACACAGCGAUUAUCCAUGCUUUACUGCUGAAAAUGUCAUGGUGUAUAAAUACUUAACUCCCGAGAGCCAGAUUAUCUUCAUCACCGAUGACAAUACCUCCGUCAAAACUAGGACCACGGUCCAUUACCAAAUGUUUGUGUGUAAGAUUAAGAGAGCCAUACUCUUAGGUCCUAAAGAACCUGACGAACAGGAGAUUCCAUAUAAUAUAUCUCAAGUGCCUAUAGAUAAGUGUACAGAUUUUAUUUUCAAAGCAUUCGCUCCUGCUCUUACGGUGUACAAAGAGAUUCAGAAAGAAGAGAAACUGUACUCUCUCAUCUGAGUGCAGUCGGGGUGUUAUUCCACUAGAGCAGUGUAGAGCGCUGCAAAUUCAGCUACUGACAAAAUGUUAUUGUGACGCUAUAACUAUGUUGUGGGAUUAUUUAAUUAAUUUUAAGAACAGUUUAAUUAAAUUCAUUUCUGUAACUUCACUUCACUCAUGAACACGUGCCUUGGGUCAUGAUGUUCUGUCCUUGUACAUGUUUUUCUCCUACCUUCACCAUCUGCAUUAUCUGUGUGGGCCUCUUUCUCACACACACACACACACACACACACACACACACCAGUAUAAAAGCUUGUUUUGUCUGAUUUUUGUUUAGACUAUAGAACGCCCAGGUUGUCUUAAUAAACCAUCUAUUUUAUUAAAACCUGCCUCCUGGUCUCCCGAGUCUGCACAUAUCUUACUUCUAAUGAAACUGCAGCAUUCUGAUGCAUUUACAGUCAGGUCCAUAAGUAUUUGGACAGUGAUGCAAUUUUCAUGAUUUUGCCUGUGUACACAUUUGAAAUGAAGCAGUCGAGAUGUGAUUGAAGUGUAGACUUACAGAUUUAAUUCAAGGGGUUCAGCAAAAAUAUUACAUUAACCAUUUAAGAAUUACAGCAUUUUUUACAGAGUCCCUCCAUUUUUACAGACUGAAAAGUAAUUGGACAAUUGACUGAUGUUCCAUGGCCAGGUGUUCCAUGGCCAGGUGUUUCAUGGCCAGGUGUGGCCUGUUUCCUCGUUAUUCCAUGACAAAUUAAGGAGAUAAAAGGCCUGGAGUUGAAUUUGCAUUCGAUAGCUGAAGAAGAGGAAGAAGCUUUUAUUGAUCACAUAUGUAUUUCAGCACAGUGAAAUUCUCUGACUUAACCUGAACGUGUGAAUCAUUACAUGCCUUAUUGCUAAAAUUUCUAAAAUUUUAAUACAAAUAGCCAGUCGACCCGCACACAGAUAAUAGUUUAUUGGAGGGUCAGAUUAGCUAAUGUAAAAAAAUAACUUUUUGUUCAUAUCAAACAGUAAAAAUGAAUAUUUACCAGCCACUGUGGCAGGUGGAGGAAAAACUGAAUUUCAGACCCUGCUGCCAGUGGAACUGGGUCAGUGGUGUUUACUGAUGAUGUGAGUGCUGAUAGAAGGAGCAGGAUGAAUUCUGUAGUGUAUCGAGAUAUACGUUCUGCUCAGAUUCAGUCGAAUCCUGCAAAACUGAAACAGGACGGCGCUUCACAGUACAGAUGGAAAACGACCUCCCGAAACGUACUGCGAAAGAAUCCCAAGAGCUUCUUAAGGCAAAGAAAUGGUAUGUUCUUAAAUGGCAGCGUCAAUCACCUGACCUCACCCCCUUGAGCUGCUUUUCACUUACUGAAGACAAAACUACAGGCAGAAAAACCCACAAACAAGCAGCAACUGAAGGCAGCUGCAGUAAAGACCUGGUAAAGCAUCUCAAACUCAACAUUUGACGAUGUCCAUGGCUUUCAGACUUCAAUCGGUCAAUGACUGCAACAGAUUUGCAUUCAAGUAUUAAAAAUAGUUCUAAUAUUUAUGAUUAUGUUAGCCUGUCCAAUUACUUUUGAGCCUGUAAAAAAAUGCCCAUAACGCCUCAAUUGUUGAUGCAAUAUUUAUGUUGAACUCCUUGAAUUAAAGCUGAAAGUCUACACUUCAAUCACAGCUCGAUUCCUUCAUUUCUUAUCCCACUACGAAAAUUCAUUACUCACAGACCUGACUGUAGACGCCAUCACGAUUUUAAAUCAUUUUCAUUCAUGUUUGGUUUCUUGUGUGUGUGUGCAUGUGUGUGUGUGUGUGUGUGUGUGUGUGUGUGUGUGUGUUAACCAGAGAUAGUGGUAUAAAGACAAUAUUAGUGUGGGUGUGACCCAUAAUGAGGAAGUGCAUUGGUGGGUGUAAAAGUUUCAGUCUUCAUCAGCAGUGAAUCUCAGUGACAGUGAGAGUCGUGUUACAGCCAGCAACACUUUUCUAAACGUGUUAAAC